GCUGGGUUCACUGACCCCCAACCUCCACCUUCAUCCUGAUCGUCUCCUAAAAGGUCGUAUCCUCCGAUCGUAGCUGAUCGUAACCAUUCAAGUUAACGUGUCAAUUUACACCGACUUCUUUCCGUUCCUCUGCGGAUCGCCGGACUCCUCAGCUGAUCACAAGAGUUCUAUUGUUUCUGGACGCCGGAGCAUGGCGGAUAAAUUCAGCACAGAUUAACCCGUGCUGGAAAGGAAGUCGGGCACAGACACAAAAUAAAACAUCCGGCUUCUCUUCAAAAUAUUCGCCUCACAAACAGAUCUGGUAGGAAUUGGCAGACGGUAAAAAUCGCUGCAGUUCCGGAUCAGAGCUGUUCCGGAUGCGGUGAAAAUUGAGGGUAAAGUCUACAGAGUCUGGUCUGCUGAGUUCACUUAGGUCUACAGAAAGUUGGGGGACUUGAAACUUCUGCUGAAACUUCAGGAAUUGGAUUUGUUUAUCGACCAACAUUUAGGGUCCUCUGGUGCAGCCUGAAGACCCCCCCAGGAGACCAGUUUCUGCAGUUUGGACUGUUAAUGGAUAUCUGAUACAGGACAUUUCAGAGCCUUUACUUUUCCCUUCGUUACAAUAAUGAGGUGGACUUUAUACUUCUGUCCUCAACAAGUCUCUCCUACGUUGUGCUCACUUGUGCAUCCUUGGUUAAAGGCACAUUAAACCAGCAGAAGACCUCUGGGCUCACUGGGAACAGGCUGCAGAGACUACAUAACCCAUCUGGUCUGGGAACAUCUUCAGGUCCCACAGGGGGAGCUGGGAGACAUGCUGGGGAAGGACAUCUGGACAAUGUCGCUCGGCCUGCUGCUAAGAGCAACCGGUGCGAAACAACAACUGCCAGAUCGAUUGAUGAAUCGAUUUUAUCGCGGCGCAAUCCGAGGCGUGUUAAAAUCCUAAUCACUUCAGACGCCGGGGAACAGCAGGAGCGGAGGUAAUAACACAUUUGUUUCCUCUUCAAAGAAGCAUUCACAGAAUCAAUAUGGAGUUGAAAUGGAGCCUGCAGAAGACUGACAGCCUGCUCCUGGUAAUUCUGUGUGUGUGUGUGUGUCUGUGUGUGUGUGUGUUCGUGCACAGACAGCAGACAAUGCCUCGGUAAUCUCCAGCACAAGCAGUUGGUCGGUGCUGAAUGUUGACUGGCAUAAUUGCAGUGAGAGGACUUUGAUUUCACGGCCCAUUGAGUGCAGAAUGUGCACACGGAGCUGUUUGGACAGACGCCACGGCUCAGUGGGCCACCGGGCGCGCUCUGCCUCCUGCCACACGGCGAAGCAACAGGGUACAAUUAGAGGCGAGGCUUUGAGAUCAGGCGUCUGAUGGAGGAUGCAGCCCCACGCCACCUGAGUGUGCGUGUGAGUGUGUGUGAGUGUGUGUUAGGUUUGCACGCCGGCUUCUGUCUGCACUUUCAUCCGUGACCUGUCAUAUUAGCGAGGCCUCCCCAUGAGCAAAUAUAGAUUUUGGGAGAAUUUGCUCUCCCCUGCAGCGAUAACCCGCUCUCCUCGCUCUCCUCUUCUUCACGUCUCUGGCUGUCUUCCAGUAUCUCUCCUUCCUCCCACAAAGCUCCGGGUGUGAAACCCUCCAAAAGAAGGAUGUGAAAGAAGUCCAGAGUGAGAGGAAAUGGGAUUUUAGCGGCCUAUUUUACAGCUUUCAGACUGUCGAGGGUGAACUGUUGAGGAUUAUUAGCUGUGAGGGCGUGAUGGAGAGAAGGACGGGACAGACGCUCGCUGGCUUUGCUAACUGAUUUCUCUUAGAGAGGUAAUUUCCCACCGCUCUCUGUGCCAGGAGACCUUCACAGCCCUCCACUUACUGCAACAUUUAAUGCUCCAGCCCUCACACACACACUCACAGCAUGCAGCCCGGCAGAGCUUUCAAAGAAACGCUGAAAUUAAAUUAGAAGUUACACUGAUGUCUAAAUUAAAUUAAAAGUCAAAGCUGCUUCAGUAUUCAAUUACAAAACUCGACCAGGUUGAAAUGUUGGAGUCGGAGCGUCGCUUCGGGACACCGGAUGAUAAAAACAUUUAUCUCUGCAGGUUGGCGUGGACACCUUACCCCCGCAGAGACUGAACAGAAAGCUGCCAAUUAAGAGGUCCACGUUUAAUCGAGCUUCAGCUCCAACAGAGCAGAACCUGAACUCAGAGAGAGGCGAUUAAUAACAAUGGAGAAGUAAAACUAAUGACAGAGCUGCAAACACGGGCCGUGAAGAAACUAUGAAUGCAGAAAUCUUCUGAUUGAAGUCUCUACAACUCCUGCACACACCUGUCUGUCUGUCUGUCUGUCUGUGGUAAACUGGACUCUUUUGGGACAGUAUUCAAAGAUCCUCCUAAAGUCGAGUAAGUGUCCCGGUUCCUAAAUUCUAAUAAAUAAACCUCAAAUUAACUUCUGUGGAGUUUCCCCCCUGCUGGACACCAGAGAGAAUGCAGGUUUAGUCCUCGCCCAUAUAAGGAGAUCCUGAUAGUUAAACCCAAACCAGCUCUUCCCACAGAUUACAGCUGUUACAUUCCUCACGCCUCAUUAGCUCAGAGUCCUACCUGAUAGCUGGAUUUAUUUCCUGAAGGCCACACAGACGGAGAGGAAGAGAAGAAGCAGCUCCAACAGAGCCGUGAGAAAACUACACCUAACCCAGACUUAGUAAUCAGCAGGCAGGAGAGACGCUGUACUCAGGGGUGAACGAGGACAUCACACACUCUCAAACACCUUUUCUCCUCUGAAAGGGAAGGUAUGGACCGGAUGGGUCGGAUCAAUAAUCCCAUCGCAUUAUUGUUCCUGCUUGUCCAACAGAAUAAUGAGAAACUUAUCUCAUUCAUGCUGCAGGAGUCCUGCUGCAGUAAACACGGCGCUCAUAUCAGAGGAGGACAGAUGUGAAGGAGAAUAUUAACACUGAGGUCUGUCUGUCUGUCUGUCCAGGCUCAUUCUGCAGUUUCUGUCUUUUACUCAGGCUGCUUUAGGAGGACAGAGUCUCUGUAUUGAUCACAUUUACUCCUCUGCAGAUCCAGAUCACACAGGGUUAGACUAAACUCCAAGACUUGUUACGUGUAAACUAAAAUACAUAAACAUGUUUAAUAAUGUGUUUAAAAUGCAUGUUUCUAUUCCCUCACAGUGAGUUGGAGCUGGUGUUGCUUUCAUCAACGAAAAUUAUGUUGAAAUAUCGCCGUCAACGAACCUUUAUCACGUGAUGAAAAUGAGACGAGACUAAACAUAAUGGUGGUUUUAUGACGAUAACUGUGACUAAAUAUAUAAUGAAAUAUCACUGACGAAUAAAAACAAGACGAAAUGUGGUUCACAAAAAAAAACUCUGCUAAAAUGUCUCUUCACGAAAACCAAUAGAAACUAAAAAGACAGUUUGACACGAAGACUAAAACUAAAACUAAAAUUAAAACAGGCCGACAAAAACAACAAUAGUUGGAGCAGAAUUCAAAUUAAUUCUUUGAAUAAACAAAAGGAUCUUUUUCAGAUAUUUUCCUCCUAAAGCAGAAACAUCAGAGGCUGGAAAUGACAGACUUUAGGCGCAGAAGUGCAGUUCCACUCAUGUCCACUAGAGGCUGUGUCCAACAGUGAGUCAGUCCCCAUAGAGCCCCAUGUUAAAAUGUCCAACUUCGCAGCAGGAAUAAAUAAGUUUACAGGCUGGUACAGAAACAGUCCUGGUCACUACGGCUCAUUUAACCCACCCGUCAAGUUUUAACAGAGCUCAUGGUGAAGUACAGUUGGGGGUGUGGCCUCUCUGAGUGACCAAUAAGAGCUGCUUGCUGUCUGCUUAGCCUGAGCCCUUUCAGUCUCUCUCUCUUUCUCUCUCUCUCUCUCUCGUUCCGACUCCCCCCCGCUGCCUCUCCUCUGGUGCCGUCGUCGGCUCUGGAGGGACCGCAGUAAUGACCAGUAUGAUUAAUCUCACAGGAACAGGAAAGGAAUCAAUUGAAGGUGAAAAGCGUGAAAACCCUCAGGUGCAUUAAUAACUCGGUCGUCCCGCUGAGUUCAGACGGAGCUCCUCUCAGUCGAGCAGGUAGCUCAGGAAACAUGACGUUAAGCUCUUCCUCUCCACUGAGUUUGUGUCUCUCCUCAUCCUUUCCUGUCAGACGCUCUUUUUAUCUUUUCUUUUGUUUCUCAGUUCUCAUAAUCAUAUUUUCUCUUCAAAGCAAGUGCAAUAAAAACCAUCCUAAAAUCAGCUUCAAAGACUUUCAGUGUGUCAGAGGAUGAAGAUAAGGAGGAUGAUGAUGAUGAGUUUAAAAGUUUCCUAUUAGCUCCAGUUUAGCUUCCACUGCUGCACCCACUGACAGAGAACAUAAACUCUUCAUAAUGGGCCUCAACACUGACUACAGUUCACCCAACAACCUCUGAGUUCAACUGUUAAAUCAAACACAGCCAUGAUUAUAAUAAUGGUAAUAAAUAUGUGAAUAAUGAAAAUAGUGAGAUAAUAAUAGUAAUGAUAAUUAUGAUAAUGACAAUAAUAAUAAUGAUAAAAAAUAAUGAUAAUUAUGGUAAUAAUGAUAAAAAUAAUAAAAUUAAUCAUAAUAAAUAUGCUGUAAUAACGACAACGAUAAUUAUAAUAAUAAUAAUAAUAGUGAUAUUAAUUAUAAAAAUGAUAACAAUAAUAAAAAUAUGAUAGUGAUAAUGAUAACGUUGACAAUGAUAGAGAUAAAAAUGAUAACAAUAACAAUGAUAAUUAUGGCAAUAAUGAUAAAAUAUUUAUGAUGAUAGUGAUAAUUUUAACGACAAAAAUGAUGAUAAUAAUGACAAUGAUAAUAAUGAUAAAAAUGACAACAAUCAUGGUAAUAAUGAUAAAAAAUAAUAAAACUAAUUAUAAUUAAUAUGGUAAUAACGACAACAAUAAUUAUAAUAAUAAUAAUAGUGAUAUUAAUUAUAAAAAUGAUAACAAUAAUAAAAAAUGGUAAUGGUAAUGAUAAUGAUAAAGAUGACAAUGAUAAAGAUUAAAAUGAUAAUAAUAAUAAUAAUAAUAAUGAUAAUUAUGGCAAUAAUGAUGAAAAUAUUUAUGAUGAUAGUGAUAACAAUAAUAAUGAUAUUUAUGAUUAUGAUAAUAAUAAUUAUGUUAAAAAUGACAAUGAUAAUAAUGACUAUGAUAGCGAAGAUUUUAAUGAUACUACUGAUAAUGGUUAUGAUAAUAACAAUAACAUUAAUAAUAAUAAUAAUAACACAGUUUGCAAUAAAUGUUUGGGGUGCAGCUGAAGUCGAGUGGCGUAGAUCUUCAGAGUCUAGAGCCUCAUAUAUACUGAGCGUUUUAGGCAGCUGUGACCUAUAAAGUAGAUUUUGUGUUUUUUUUAAUGACCUGAAGACUAAAAGAAACAAAAGUACAAGUCAGGAAUUAAGUCAGGAAUCUUUUCUGGAUUUACUUUUCCUGGUUCACUAACGGAGAACUUCAGAAAGGCUUCAGAUAAACCUCCUUUAAGCCCCCUAAACAUCCUACAGGAGGACUUUGACCCUCACUAAUCAGAGCUUCAGUGAGUUCUUUGAAAUUGUCGGUUUAUUUGGAGUCCGGCGUGCUCUCGUUUUCAGGUUUGGAUUUUUUUCUCCUGUUGUCUCUGUGCACAGCUCUGCAGUUUUCUCCUCCUGUCUCCUCUGUUAAAUCCCUGACCUUCACUCUCCAAACACUCUGAACUCCCAGCAGAGACGCUCCACGGUCACAUUUUUCUGCAGACUCCAGGUGUUUCAUCACUCAUCAUGGACCUAAUUCUGAAGAAACCUGCCUUACAGUGAACAUACACACACCUUACACAUCUCUAAUUCUCCCUCUAACUCUGUCACAGCGGCACAAAAAAGCCUUCAGCUGCAGCUUAAAGAGGACUUUGGAGAGGAGCUUGUCACUUCAGUCGGCCGUGACAGUCAGGCUGCAGCAGCAGCAGCAGCAGACGGUGACUCACCGAGUAAAGCUGGACGGAGCUUUCAUCUGCAACAGCUCUGAGCGUUUAGUCCUUCACUGCUUUGUCAUAGAGAUGUCUCAGAGUCUGACUCUGUUAGCAAACAGUCUGACAGGCCUGCACAAACACCACAAAAACACCUCAAACUCAUCUCCUACGUCUUCUCGGUGGACUUCAAACCAAGACCAGAUGCACGUCUCUACAGAUUACACAUUCAUCUGCAGUUUUUGUGAGCAGCUCUUUUCUUUGACUAUCAGUCCAUCCCUGUCCUGGAUCUUGAUUUACUCUGCUUUGGAUCAGCUCAGCUGUAUCUUUAUAAUGUCUGAAAAUGCUCCUCAAAGACUGUUCUGUUCUUAGACAUGCUGGUUAACAAGAAUAAGAAGAACUUUAUUCAUCAAAUUCAAUUAUAUAUUCAUCCACGUCAGCAGUCCUGUGGCUGAUGUUUCCUCUUAAAAUGAUUGUACGGCUCACCCCCAAUUUUCACCACAACUACUAAAAGGUCGUAUCCUCCGAUCGUAGCUGAUCGUAACCAUUCAAGUUAACGUGUCGAUUUACACCAACUUCUUUCCGUUCCUCUGCGGAUCGCCGGACUCCUCAGCUGAUCACAAGAGUUUGAUUUUUUUAUCGGACACCAGAGCAUGGUGGAUAAAUUCAGCACAGAUCAUAGAACCCACUGCCUCCACAUUAGUCUGCACUAGUCUCCACCCUCCAAUCUCCAUCAACCAAUCAGUGCAGUGCCUCAUCAUCAUAGCAUGGCUGCCCAAUCAGAUCUCUGCUUGGAUAACAAGGUUAGAAACUGAGGGGCUGCCGAUCCUCCACUCUGAGAUGUAAAAGACUAACCAGGACAUGUCGACGAUGCAUUUACGGGAGCGGUUUGGACUCCAUCCUGAACUUUAGUCUCAUUUUAAGGAAGCAGCUGAAGGAUGGUUGGAAGAGUCCUGAGGAGAGUGAGUUUUCUCUCUCUUCAGAUCGUUCUCAGACUGAACUCAGUUCAGAGAGGAUUUCCUGAGGUCUGCUUCCUGAGAACAGUGUGAAGAUUGGAUAAAAAAGUCGCUCAGUGCUCCUUUUAUUCUGGAUUUGGAUGUUUCUGUCCUUUUAACCCUCUGAAGUAAAUGAGCGAGCUCUUUGAGGACUUGCUGUGAAUGAAUUUUGGGUCGGUAAAAACAGAGAGGGGUCAUGGAGGAAGCAGGAGAAGCUCUGGGGUUUAACUUUAAAAGGAAGUUUCUCCAAAGUCAAACUUUCUCCUGUCAGCGUAAAAAGACUUCAAAGCUGCUUUGAUUUGCUCUUGGAUUUUACCGUUUUUAUGGCUGAAGUUUGAGACACAAACCAGAAAAGAAAUCAUCAGUCUGGAGUUUUAAACACCUGUUAAACUCUGCCUCUGAACUCCUAAACGGGAGGAUUUCUGCGGUGUUUUGGAGCGGUUUAGCCUCCAUCAUUGACAGACCGAUCUAAUUUUGGUCUCAGAGGAAUCUCAAAUCUGUAACUUCACCUGUCAGAGUUAAACUUUCUUCUUGUUGUUGUUGGACUAAAUCCACUGAACUGUUUACUCUCAUUUAUAACUCUGAAUCUUAAAAAGGUUUCUCCCUCCGCUGAAGCGCUCCAUCUGUGAGCUUCUAAACAAGAUAGAUCUACAUUUGCACAAGAACAGACAGAGGAGCUGAUUCAAUUAGGACAGAAAUCCCCACCUCCUCCUCCUCCUCCUCCUCCUCCUCCUCCUCCUCCUCCCACACUGUUCAGAUGAAAGUUUUCUCUUUGGUUUGAUAUUCAGGGAAACAGGAUCUGACACCUGGACCGUCCAAACAUCAGCAGGACGUCUCACCUGUCCCUGAGAGACAGACAGACUGUGGGCCUCGUGAGUGUGGGGGCUGUCAGGACGUCCCACUGUAGCUUCACGAUAAUCGAGGCCAUAAUAACAACAACAAAAACAACAACAACAUCGUCACAGUAUGUAUGAUAGAAGAGAACACGAUCAGAUGAACUGAGGAGCAGCAAAACAAAGGAGGAGUUACACACGACUUUAUAAACUCUUAUAUUGUCACACGGUUUUUAACGUCACACUGCCCAACACGAAUCAAAGUGCCGACCUGUAAAAAUUUGCUCUACGGUUUAUACCGGAGAGAGAGAGCAGAUGUGUGCCGCGUCUCUCUAAACUCCAAUUUCCACCUUCAUCCUGAUCGUCUCCUAAAAGGUCGUAUCCUCCGAUCGUAGCUGAUCGUAACCAUUCAAGUUAACGUGUCAAUUUACACCGACUUCUUUCCGUUCCUCUGCGGAUCCCCUGAAUCGCUGGUGGCCUGUGUUGGAUUUUGGGGUCUCAGGAUCGUUUUAGUUCUUAUUUUACUCUUUUUAUCGCGUUAUUUUUUAUUGCAUUUUAGUCUUUCCACUGUGAACGUAUUGCACACUGGUUAUUAUGUAGUUAUUUAUUUAUCGCUGCUCUGUGGAGCUGACAGGGGAAUGUUUGGGUCAUGCUGUGAAUGUCUGGUAUUCAUCUGUUCCUGAUGAAUUAAGUCGUCUGAAUCUGAAUCUAAAUCAGAAUUUUGACUUUAAAUUAUAUUAAAAAUUAUAAAAAUUAUAUUGGCCCUUCUUUUUUUUUUUCCAGUGGCCCUCAUCGUCUUCCGUAGAAGUCAGAGCAGCUUGUUUGUUUUUUUUUCUUGAUUUAAUCAGGCUGUAGUUUAGUCCGGUUUGUGUCCCUCUGUUGUCCACCGAUAAAUAAAGAGACUGUAGAGUCAGAAACAGAGCGUGGUCGACCUUUUCUCAUUUAUUUCUCCUGGUCUCCUACACGGGGCCAAACUACAACAAAAAGGUAAAUCUCAGCAGCAGAGGAGACGCUGCGCCUCCUGGUACCGCUCUGAUGAAACAGGAGCUGAACCCUGACUCCUCUCUGAUGAGGAAAACAAAUCCGCUCCUGCGAAGUGACCCCGCAGCCGCCCUCUCAGCUGGAGCUCGCCGUAAUACGGUGACGGGGCCAUCGCACAAAUGUCCCAGGAUUCAUUGGGUUUGUGUGAGGAGACGCGCCAACGCAACC